rnacentral:rRNA from 1 species
UACAGAGGGUGCGAGCGUUGUUCGGACUUAUUGGGCGUAACGGGCGCGUAGGCGGCUUUACAGGUCCGUUGUGAAAACUCGAGGCUCAACCUCGAGACGCCGGUGGAAACCGUAAAGCUAGAGUCCGGAAGAGGAGAGUGGAAUUCCUGGUGUAGCGGUGAAAUGCGCAGAUAUCAGGAGGAACACCCGUGGCGAAAGCGGCUCUCUGGGACGGUACUGACGCUGAGACGCGAAAGCGUGGGGAGCAAACAGG